rnacentral:rRNA from 1 species
GUAGGUGGCAAGCGUUGUCCGGAAUUAUUGGGCGUAAAGCGCGCGCAGGCGGUCCUUUAAGUCUGAUGUGAAAGCCCACGGCUCAACCGUGGAGGGUCAUUGGAAACUGGGGGACUUGAGUACAGAAGAGGAAAGUGGAAUUCCAAGUGUAGCGGUGAAAUGCGUAGAGAUUUGGAGGAACACCAGUGGCGAAGGCGGCUUUCUGGUCUGUAACUGACGCUGAGGCGCGAAAGCGUGGGGAGCAAACAGGGAUUAGAUACCCUGGUAGUCCACGCCGUAAACGAUGAGUGCUAAGUGUUAGGGGGUUUCCCGCCCCUUAGUGCUGCAGCUGACGCAUUAAGCACUCCGCCUGGGGAGUACGGCCGCAAGGCUG